AAACCACUAUUUGUCAAAUAUUUUACUUAAAUAACGUUCAAGUUAAAAACUGCUCUAACACUUUGUUAAUUUUCUUCUUCUUAAGCAUAUUCUGGCGUAAUAAAUCAAACAGCAUAUUAACAGAACAUUCUAGGACAUAAAGGAUACGUGCAAUUGGCUUUCUCAAUUUCGAUCAUGAAACGUGCGUUGAUAAAUCAUUCGCAGUGGUAAAUACUACGACAGAAACUGUCCGAUAUCCAAUUUGCAACGACCGCGCUUAGAUUUGUUACGAGUUAUUAUUCACGUGCGGCGUAUAUCAUGUCGGUAACCAUUUCAAUUAGCCAAUGAACGCAUUUUCGAGGCACUUUCAACAAUCGCGGCGAGGUCUUGUCUCGCGAGACCACCUAGUACGCAACAAGUCCGACUACUUGUAGAAGGUGUCACGAAUGAAGAAUAUAUCGUUUGCCAUUCAUCUUGUUUCUUCGCAAUCACUGAGGUUUAUAUUGAUGUAUCUACCUCCUUUAAGAGAGCCGUGUUCGGUUUUACGUUACUUCGCAAAACGUACAGCGUCGUUUAUAGAAUGGCUUAAAAAAGUAUUGGAACGCUCUAAGAAACUUUUUAUGCGUACGGGAGAGUCGUACAGCGCCAGUUUUAAAUGCAUACUGGUAUAAUUUUCGAUAUUACAAGAGUUCUAAGACGUUUACGCUGGUCUUCCCUACGUAGUCUUCAAUUAUCCAAAUAUUACAAUUAUUCGGCUAACGCUAUGCAAAUUCCCACGAAUAUUACCACCCAAUCUCAGCAUUCUGUUAAACAGCAGCUUAAUUUUCUCCAAAACCGACAACGAGCGUGUCCAAUUAUAAUAACCAGUUUACCCGCUAAAACGCGAGACGUAAACGCGACGACGUGAGCGAAUUCGUGCGAAUAAUCCGCGUGGAAGGUAUGCUACCGGUUCGCUCGUUUCCUCGGAAUCGAUCGGCAGCCGCGAGCUUUCUCGCAAAAUGCCUCCUAAAUUAUAGAAUCCUAAAUUAGCCGGGUGGAAGAAGAAAAAAAGAAAGGAACGUACCCAUAAAUUGGAGGAGAUUUGGCCGGCCUCCUAUACGCGAUCCAUUACGUGGAAGAGUGUAUAAGGACAAGCUUAUACUCCCGAGGAAGUUCAUGGUCGUUCACGGGUGUGUACAUUCUUAUGAAAAUGCGGCGAGCUUCAAUAAAACUCCGUGAUGUACGUUUCGAAACGACCGAAUGGACAAGUACCUCCGAUGUCGGAUGCAAUUUCGAAAUUCGUUUUGACUGGUGGAAUCGUAAAGUGGCGUUUUUACGGGGCUGAUAAUAGGUCGGCGCCUACGAUUCCCAACCGAGGACCUCUCGUGUGCGGCCACCAGCUCGUUUUCAACCGAAGAGGAAACGAAACUGAAGUAGCCCUCGAGUUCCGUUAAUAUUACAAUUCCGGAUGCAGUCAUUUUCACUCUUUAUAGUUCUUUAAUCUACCUCGUUAUCUACACUGACUCACGAAAAUAUUUGGACAUUUAUCAUAGAAAACAUUCGCAUUGUACGCCUUAUAUAAAACAUUUUGGAAAGAAGAUAUUAAGAAAUGGCCGUUUAUGUAACUCCUUGCGAGUGUAAAAUUCUUGCACAACGUUUAAGAAUAUCUCUCA